AAAAAAAAAAAAAGUCUGGAUCUCAGUGAAGCCCUGGAAUGAACAUAAAAAUUGAGAUAUCAUUGGCUUAGGUGUUUUCAAAGUUCUGAAAAAUGGAUGAGAUCACCUCAGAUGAAAGUAUGGCAAGAGAAUAUAAAGAGCUAUGACUGAGUCCUGAAGAAUUUCAAGAUCUAAAUGUUGUGUGCGAGAGGCAGAUAGCCCAGGGAGAGAGGAAAUUCGUGGUGUUACAGAAGACAAAGGACCCAAAACUUCCGUAAAGAAGGGCAAAUUUUUUUCCAGCAACUGGAGCUGCUGAUAAGACACCUACUCAGAGUAAUGAUGCAUAAUAUGAAAAUGCAAUAAUCCAGACCUCAUAAGUGUGGACGA
rnacentral:lncRNA from 1 species